rnacentral:lncRNA from 10 species
GACAGGGUCUCAUUUUGUCACCCAGACUGGAAUGCAGUGGCAAGAUCUCGGCUCACUUCAGCCUCAACCUCCUGGGCUCAGAAACGGGUUUUCACCAUAUCGCCCAGGCUGGUCUCAAACUCCUGAGUUCAACAGAUCCAUCCACCUUGGCCUCCCAAAGUGCUGGGAUUACAGGAGAAGGAUGACAUAAAAAUCUUCAGGAUGAAUGCUCUAACAGAA